UACGCAGGUGGCAAGCGUUAUCCGGAAUUAUUGGGCGUAAAGAGCGCGCAGGUGGUUAAUUAAGUCUGAUGUGAAAGCCCACGGCUUAACCGUGGAGGGUCAUUGGAAAUUGGUUGACUUGAGUGCAGAAGAGGGAAGUGGAAUUCCAUGUGUAGCGGUGAAAUGCGUAGAGAUAUGGAGGAACACCAGUGGCGAAGGCGGCUUCCUGGUCUGCAACUGACACUGAGGCGCGAAAGCGUGGGGAGCAAACAGG
rnacentral:rRNA from 1 species